rnacentral:rRNA from 1 species
AUUGAACGCUGGCGGCAUGCUUUACACAUGCAAGUCGAACGGUAACAGGUUAAGCUGACGAGUGGCGAACGGGUGAGUAAUGCAUCGGAACGUGCCCGGUCGUGGGGGAUAACACUUCGAAAGAAGUGCUAAUACCGCAUACGAUCUGAGGAUGAAAGCGGGGGACCGUAAGGCCUCGCGCGAUCGGAGCGGCCGAUGUCAGAUUAGAUAGUUGGUGGGGUAAAGGCUCACCAAGCCGACGAUCUGUAGCUGGUCUGAGAGGACGACCAGCCACACUGGGACUGAGACACGGCCCAGACUCCUACGGGAGGCAGCAGUGGGGAAUUUUGGACAAUGGGCGAAAGCCUGAUCCAGCAAUGCCGCGUGCAGGAAGAAGGCCUUCGGGUUGUAAACUGCUUUUGUACGGAGCGAAAAGGCUCUCUCUAAUACAGGGGGCUCAUGACGGUACCGUAAGAAUAAGCACCGGCUAACUACGUGCCAGCAGCCACGGUAA